rnacentral:rRNA from 1 species
AGGAAUAUUGGUCAAUGGGCGUAAGCCUGAACCAGCCAAGUAGCGUGAGGGAAGACUGCCCUAUGGGUUGUAAACCUCUUUUGUGCGGGGAUAAAGUGUGGGACGUGUCCCAUAUUGCAGGUACCGCACGAAUAAGGACCGGCUAAUUCCGUGCCAGCAGCCGCGGUAAUACGGAAGGUCCGGGCGUUAUCCGGAUUUAUUGGGUUUAAAGGGAGCGCAGGCCGUCCUUUAAGCGUGCUGUGAAAUGCCGCGGCUCAACCGUGGCACUGCAGCGCGAACUGGAGGACUUGAGUACGCACGAGGUAGGCGGAAUUCGUGGUGUAGCGGUGAAAUGCUUAGAUAUCACGAAGAACUCCGAUUGCGAAGGCAGCUUACCGGAGCGCAACUGACGCUGAGGCUCGAAAGCGCGGGUAUCGAACAGGAUUAGAUACCCUGGUAGUCCGCGCGGUAAACGAUGGAUGCCCGCCGUUGGGAUUUAGAUUUCAGCGGCCAAGCGAAAGCGUUAAGCAUCCCACCUGGGGAGUACGCCGGCAACGGUGAAACUCAAAGGAAUUGACGGGGGCCCGCACAAGCGGAGGAACAUGUGGUUUAAUUCGAUGAUACGCGAGGAACCUUACCCGGGCUUGAAUUGCAGGAGAACGAUCCAGAGAUGGUGAGGCCCUUCGGGGCUCCUGUGAAGGUGCUGCAUGGUUGUCGUCAGCUCGUGCCGUGAGGUGUCGGCUCAAGUGCCAUAACGAGCGCAACCCCUGUCCAUAGUUGCCAUCAGGUCGUGCUGGGCACUCUGUGGAGACUGCCGCCGUAAGGUGUGAGGAAGGUGGGGAGGACGUCAAAUCAGCACGGCCCUUACGUCCGGGGCUACACACGUGUUACAAUGGGGCAUACAGCGAGUUGGAUGUGCGCAAGUACGUCCGGAUCAAUAAAGUGCCUCUCAGUUCGGACUGGGGUCUGCAACCCGACCCCAGGAAGCUGGAUUCGCUAGUAAUCGCGCAUCAGCCAUGGCGCGGUGAAUACGUUCCCG